ACCUUUUGUAUAAUGGGUCAGCGACUUAUAUUCUGUAGCAAGGUUAACCGAAUAGGGGAGCCGAAGGGAAACCGAGUCUUAACUGGGCGUUAAGUUGCAGGGUAUAGACCCGAAACCCGGUGAUCUAGCCAUGGGCAGGUUGAAGGUUGGGUAACACUAACUGGAGGACCGAACCGACUAAUGUUGAAAAAUUAGCGGAUGACUUGUGGCUGGGGGUGAAAGGCCAAUCAAACCGGGAGAUAGCUGGUUCUCCCCGAAAGCUAUUUAGGUAGCGCCUCGUGAAUUCAUCUCCGGGGGUAGAGCACUGUUUCGGCAAGGGGGUCAUCCCGACUUACCAACCCGAUGCAAACUGCGAAUACCGGAGAAUGUUAUCACGGGAGACACACGGCGGGUGCUAACGUCCGUCGUGAAGAGGGAAACAACCCAGACCGCCAGCUAAGGUCCCAAAGUCAUGGUUAAGUGGGAAACGAUGUGGGAAGGCCCAGACAGCCAGGAUGUUGGCUUAGAAGCAGCCAUCAUUUAAAGAAAGCGUAAUAGCUCACUGGUCGAGUCGGCCUGCGCGGAAGAUGUAACGGGGCUAAACCAUGCACCGAAGCUGCGGCAGCGACGCUUAUGCGUUGUUGGGUAGGGGAGCGUUCUGUAAGCCUGCGAAGGUGUGCUGUGAGGCAUGCUGGAGGUAUCAGAAGUGCGAAUGCUGACAUAAGUAACGAUAAAGCGGGUGAAAAGCCCGCUCGCCGGAAGACCAAGGGUUCCUGUCCAACGUUAAUCGGGGCAGGGUGAGUCGACCCCUAAGGCGAGGCCGAAAGGCGUAGUCGAUGGGAAACAGGUUAAUAUUCCUGUACUUGGUGUUACUGCGAAGGGGGGACGGAGAAGGCUAUGUUGGCCGGGCGACGGUUGUCCCGGUUUAAGCGUGUAGGCUGGUUUUCCAGGCAAAUCCGGAAAAUCAAGGCUGAGGCGUGAUGACGAGGCACUACGGUGCUGAAGCAACAAAUGCCCUGCUUCCAGGAAAAGCCUCUAAGCAUCAGGUAACAUCAAAUCGUACCCCAAACCGACACAGGUGGUCAGGUAGAGAAUACCAAGGCGCUUGAGAGAACUCGGGUGAAGGAACUAGGCAAAAUGGUGCCGUAACUUCGGGAGAAGGCACGCUGAUAUGUAGGUGAAGUCCCUCGCGGAUGGAGCUGAAAUCAGUCGAAGAUACCAGCUGGCUGCAACUGUUUAUUAAAAACACAGCACUGUGCAAACACGAAAGUGGACGUAUACGGUGUGACGCCUGCCCGGUGCCGGAAGGUUAAUUGAUGGGGUUAGCGCAAGCGAAGCUCUUGAUCGAAGCCCCGGUAAACGGCGGCCGUAACUAUAACGGUCCUAAGGUAGCGAAAUUCCUUGUCGGGUAAGUUCCGACCUGCACGAAUGGCGUAAUGAUGGCCAGGCUGUCUCCACCCGAGACUCAGUGAAAUUGAACUCGCUGUGAAGAUGCAGUGUACCCGCGGCAAGACGGAAAGACCCCGUGAACCUUUACUAUAGCUUGACACUGAACAUUGAGCCUUGAUGUGUAGGAUAGGUGGGAGGCUUUGAAGUGUGGA
rnacentral:rRNA from 1 species